GACGAACGCUGGCGGCGUGCUUAACACAUGCAAGUCGAACGGAAAGGCCCUGCUUUUGUGGGGUGCUCGAGUGGCGAACGGGUGAGUAACACGUGAGUAACCUGCCCUUGACUUUGGGAUAACUUCAGGAAACUGGGGCUAAUACCGGAUAGGAGCUCCUGCUGCAUGGUGGGGGUUGGAAAGUUUCGGCGGGUGGGGAUGGACUCGCGGCUGAUCAGCUUGUUGGUGGGGGAGUGGCUUACCAAGGCUUUGACGGGUAGCCGGCCUGAGAGGGUGACCGGCCACAUUGGGACUGAGAUACGGCCCAGACUCCUACGGGAGGCAGCAGUGGGGAAUAUUGCACAAUGGGCGGAAGCCUGAUGCAGCAACGCCGCGUGCGGGAUGACGGCCUUCGGGUUGUAAACCGCUUUCGCCUGUGACGAAGCGUGAGUGACGGUAAUGGGUAAAGAAGCACCGGCUAACUACGUG
rnacentral:rRNA from 1 species